GACGAACGCUGGCGGCGUGCUUAACACAUGCAAGUCGAACGGUGAACCAGAGCUUGCUCUGGGGAUCAGUGGCGAACGGGUGAGUAACACGUGGGCAACCUGCCCAGACUCUGGGAUAACCUCGGGAAACCGAUGCUAAUACCGGAUACGACCACUUCGGACAUCCGACGGUGGUGGAAAGUUUUUCGGUCUGGGAUGGGCCCGCGGCCUAUCAGCUAGUUGGUGGGGUAAUGGCCUACCAAGGCGACGACGGGUAGCCGGCCUGAGAGGGCGACCGGCCACACUGGAACUGAGACACGGUCCAGACUCCUACGGGAGGCAGCAGUGGGGAAUAUUGCACAAUGGGCGAAAGCCUGAUGCAGCGACGCCGCGUGAGGGACGACGGCCUCGGUUGUAACCUACUUCUAGCAGGACGAAGCGAAAGUGACUGUACCUGCAGAAGAAGCACCGGCUAACUACGUAGCCAGCAGCCGCGGUAAU
rnacentral:rRNA from 1 species